rnacentral:rRNA from 1 species
GAUGAACGCUGGCGGCGUGCUUAACACAUGCAAGUCGAACGAUGAAGCUCAGCUUGCUGGGUGGAUUAGUGGCGAACGGGUGAGUAACACGUGAGUAACCUGCCCUUAACUCUGGGAUAAGCCUGGGAAACUAGGUCUAAUACCGGAUAGGAGCGCCUACCGCAUGGUGGGUGUUGGAAAGAUUUAUCGGUUUUGGAUGGACUCGCGGCCUAUCAGCUUGUUGGUGAGGUAAUGGCUCACCAAGGCGACGACGGGUAGCCGGCCUGAGAGGGUGACCGGCCACACUGGGACUGAGACACGGCCCAGACUCCUACGGGAGGUAGCAGUGGGGAAUAUUGCACAAUGGGCGAAAGCCUGAUGCAGCGACGCCGCGUGAGGGAUGACGGCCUUCGGGUUGUAAACCUCUUUCAGUAGGGAAGAAGCGAAAGUGACGGUACCUGCAGAAGAAGCACCGGCUAACUACGUG